GCUCAAAAACCGCUGAUUGGUCAAUCCAAAAUUGCAAUUGCUCAUGCGCACUUGCUUUUUCCGCUGAAAUUGUGCGGGCUCUAUUGAAAAAAAUGGCGGACGAAGAAGAGUGUUUUAUGGUUGUGACAAAGGAAUAUGGGCAUAAGAACGUCUUGUUCAAUCGUAAUUUGACAGUUUUAUUAAAGGAAUAGAUGGAAACUACUUCUUGCUUCCUUUUAGAGAAGGAAUCCGAUUUAAGAACGAAAUAGAAAGACCACUACUUGGAAGCGAAAGGCGGCCGAUCACGAGUAUGCAACUGAGUUAACUCAUUUUCUUUUGAAAGCUGUAUUACAGUCCAGAUCUUCGUUUGUAAAUACGUUUUCCGUUUCUUCAAAAGUUGGUAAUUGCUAAAGAAAUCUUUUUUUAAGACCCAAAAGUCACACCUGAAUGACAGACUGAAGAAGUUCAAAGUGACAUGAUUUACUGUCAGUGUCAUGUCACUGUCAACAAGAUUCCAUGAAAUAAGUGGAUUAAAAAAAUUAACAUGGUCUCAAAUAUUGUAAGAUUCAUUCAAAACAUCAUUAUGCUUGUAUUUACAAAAAUAUGAUCAGAAAGGUAAAACAUUAUCAAGACAUUGAAUUUGGAAACUUUAGAUUUGUGUAUUCUCAAUAUUAUUAUGACUGUUGUAGCUSCUGCUAUGCCAAAUAGCAAUGCUGGAACAAAGUGUUUUAUGAAUUAUUGAUUUAUUUUCUGUAAUGUCUUGCACUUAGAGCAGAGUCAGUUGAAACAUGAAAUAGAAACUAAAUACUUUAGCACUAUCACUGAACCAGAACAGUACAAAGAGAUUACUUUUAUUGUUAUAGUCGUCUCUUGGAUAUUGCUUGUUGGAUCAUUCUGGUUCAGUGCUAAUGAUUAUUAGAAACUAAUAGUGCCUAAGUACCUUUUAGUUCUUAUUCCAUGGCUCGUGUGACUCUGCUCUAUAAUAGAAGUGUAAACUAAAAAACUUGUAGAUGUGUGGAUCAUAUUAUUGUUGGCUCUUACUAAUAAUGAAAAUGUUCUUUUCUAAACAAUGAUCAGAAACAUGAAAUAAAAUAAUAAAUAUAUGAAAA